rnacentral:tRNA from 1 species
GCCUUCGGGGUGUAGUGGUCAGCACGCUCGACGUGUAACCGAGAGGUCCGUGGUUCGAUUCCCGGCGAAGGCA